ensembl:misc_RNA
UUGGCAGUUCUGGAGAAUGAAAUCUUAUUCUGUAACAGAACAGGUACAGCAAAGGCAGCAGCAGUGAAAGCUUCCUUACACUGCCCUGCCAAUGUGCCCCCUCAACCAUACCCUGGAGAAAUCACCUCUGUGGAUGAACAAUAGCCGAGUCUCCGUGGCUUGUUUACACCUUGCUUGCA